rnacentral:rRNA from 1 species
UCCGGAGGGGGCAAGCGUUAUUCGGAAUUAUUGGGCGUAAAGGGCGCGUAGGCGGCUAGAUGUGUCAAAGGUGAAAUCCCUCGGCUCAACUGAGGAACUGCCUUUGAAACUGUCUGGCUUGGGGCCGGGAGAGGGUAGCGGAAUUCCCAGUGUAGCGGUGAAAUGCGUAGAUAUUGGGAGGAACACCAGUGGCGAAGGCGGCUACCUGGACCGGUUCUGACGCUGAGGCGCGAAAGCGUGGGUAGCAAACAGG